rnacentral:lncRNA from 1 species
CAUGAAGUCUUGCUUGAGAAUGCUCCGGACACUUGGUUGUGGAAGGAAGAAUGGAAAUUACAAUAACAAAAUCCUAAUUCUAAUAGAAUACUAAUAACUCUCUAAAUAGACUAUAAUAAUGAUAACCAAGCUUAAUCAAAUUCAAAAAACCUCAAAGAAAUUUCAAACAAACAAUAGGAAUUUUUAAAAAAAUAUUAGAAAGAACACAAAUGUCAUUCAAAUACAUUUCAAUUCAAUCUUAAUUUAAUUCUAGUUAAAAUCCUAUUGAACUUCAUUCAAACUUUAGGCCAAAAAUAAUUAAAUCUUAAAUCCUAAUAAAAUCCUAAACCCUAAAUCAAACCCUAAACAAAGCUUAAAUCAAAGCGCAACCAAAUCCUAAACCAAAUUAUAACCAAACCCUAAACCAAAUCCUAAAUCCUAACCCUAAAUCCUAAAUUCAAACACUAAACCAAACCCUAAUUUAAACCCUAAUCCUAAAUCAAACCCUAAUCCUAAAUCAAACCCUAAUCCAAACCCUAAAUCCUAAUCCUAAACCAAACCCUAAUCCAAACCCUAAACCAAAUCCUAGUAAUUUCUAUAACAGAUUUAAACCUCAAUAACUAAUGAAUAAACCGUCGAUCUUAAGUCAAAAUUUGCAAAAUUCUUAAAAUAUAAGUUAAAAACAAGCACAAAAAAUUUUAAAAGGAUCGGAGUUACCAAAUUGACGAUAACCUCAAAAAUAUGCUCAAGUAUUGGCUAGCCUCCUUCUCCAAUCUUAAUGCCAAUCUUUCAGAGCCAAUAUCUCUCUUUUGCACCGUUCGAUUGAUCUCAAAAUU